rnacentral:lncRNA from 1 species
CGAAAGUAUACAAUGAGAACAUUAACAUAAUGUGGGACCGAGCCGGAAUGGUCGAGCCAUUAACCAUCCCAUCGGGACCACUACUAAUAGAAUCAUUGCAAAUACAGAAAGCAACCUGUAAGGGAGACGUUCUCAAUGACAGACUUAUCCUCCAGCUCCGCCAAGCUUGGAAAUACUUAAUAAAAGUAACCAACAGCAAUUUCAGAAAUAAGCUAGAGAACACCGGCCCAGAUAUUCAGGAACACCUGCUUAAUAAUAAAUGAAAUGUAAAAAGAGGCAUAAAACUAAUGAUACCAAUAAUUAAAGGGAAAAAUACGCAAAAAGAAAACUAAG